CCUUUGGAUAAUACUGAGGUAUGGCCUUGGC
rnacentral:piRNA from 1 species